rnacentral:rRNA from 1 species
AACGAACGCUGGCGGCAGGCUUAACACAUGCAAGUCGAACGGUUGUAGCAAUACAGCAGUGGCGCACGGGUGAGUAACGCGUGGGAACGUGCCUUGAAGUUGGGAAUAACGUCGGGAAACUGACGCUAAUACCCGAUACGCCCUCCGGGGGAAAGAUUUAUCGCUUCAAGAUCGGCCCGCGUUAGAUUAGCUAGUUGGUGGGGUAAUGGCCUACCAAGGCUCCGAUCUAUAGCUGGUCUGAGAGGAUGACCAGCCACACUGGAACUGAGACACGGUCCAGACUCCUACGGGAGGCAGCAGUGGGGAAUAUUGGACAAUGGGGGAAACCCUGAUCCAGCCAUGCCGCGUGAGUGAUGAAGGCCUUAGGGUUGUAAAGCUCUUUUGUCAGGGAAGAUGAUGACGGUACCUGAAGAAUAAGCACCGGCUAACUUCGUGCCAGCAGCCGCGGUAAU